GUGUGUGUGAAGGGUGUGUUAUCGGACUUCGAAUCCGCAGGUCGGGAGUUCGAAUCUCUCCAGGCGUG
rnacentral:tRNA from 1 species